rnacentral:rRNA from 1 species
UCCAGACUCCUACGGGAGGCAGCAGUGGGGGAUAUUGCACAAUGGGGGGAACCCUGAUGCAGCGACGCCGCGUGGGUGAAGGAGCGUUUCGGCGCGUAAAGCCCUGUCGGCAGGGAAGAAGGAGGACGGUACCUGACUAAGAAGCCCCGGCUAACUACGUGCCAGCAGCCGCGGUAAUACGUAGGGGGCAAGCGUUAUCCGGAUUUACUGGGUGUAAAGGGGGCGCAGACGGCAGCGCAAGCCAGGAGUGAAAGCCCGGGGCCCAACCCCGGGACUGCUCUUGGAACUGCGCGGCUGGAGUGCAGGAGGGGCAGGCGGAAUUCCUGGCGUAGCGGUGAAAUGCGUAGAUAUCAGGAGGAACACCGGUGGCGAAGGCGGCCUGCUGGACUGCGACUGACGUUGAGGCCCGAAAGCGUGGGGAGCAAACAGGAUUAGAUACCCCUGUA